rnacentral:rRNA from 1 species
CCUACGGGCGGCAGCAGUCGAGAAUCAUUCACAAUGGGGGAAACCCUGAUGGUGCGACGCCGCGUGGGGGAAUGAAGGUCUUCGGAUUGUAAACCCCUGUCAUGUGGGAGCAAAUUAAAAAGAUAGUACCACAAGAGGAAGAGACGGCUAACUCUGUGCCAGCAGCCGCGGUAAUACAGAGGUCUCAAGCGUUGUUCGGAAUCACUGGGCGUAAAGGGUGCGUAGGCUGUUUCGUAAGUCGUGUGUGAAAGGCGCGGGCUCAACCGGCGGACGGCACAUGAUACUGCGAGACUAGAGUAAUGGAGGGGGAACCGGAAUUCUCGGUGUAGCAGUGAAAUGCGUAGAUAUCGAGAGGAACACUCGUGGCGAAGGCGGGUUCCUGGACAUUAACUGACGCUGAGGCACGAAGGCCAGGGGAGCGAAAGGGAUUAGAUACCCUGGUAGUC